GCUCUCCUGAAAAGCAGGAGUCAGGGGGAAAUGCCUCUGUCCCCGUGGAGGCUGUGGGCAGGGGGGGGCCAGAGCAAGGGGUUCAGGUGGGAUACGCCAUGCAAAGGAAGGCAUUCCCACAUGAUGAGACUCCGCGCUCUGGUGUCCCCUCAUCCGCAGCCACAUAACCGGUCUCAGGAUGACAAGCAAGGGCAUGCUUCUGGUUUCUCCAUAAUCUGAGCAUCUCCGUGUCCAAACCCCAAAUCCCAAUAAGCCUCAGUAGCAAUUUCCAAAAGUUCUGACCAAAACUCACUCCUUAACUGGCCGGGCUGAGAGAAGCAGUCCCAAGCCCCUCCUUACGAAAAAGUCUAAGUCCUUUCUGUUUUCAUCCCAACAAAGAUAGACCGUCUGUACCCACAGGUGCCCUCCCUAACGUGCAGCACAGCAGCUGGGACACCCUAUUCUCGGCCUCGCCAGAGUGCUUUCCUGGGAAUCAGAAGCAAGGCUGGGAAUGCUGCCUUCACAACUUCGAUCUGGGGGACCCACUGCAAAGGUGAGGGCGAGGGCAAAUGACUGAGCAACCGUGGGGCACCCUAAGAAGGGGGCAGGAGACCACCUGGGUUUGAAAAAUGUGGUUCUGGAAAGCAAACCAACCACAAAAGCAAGUAAAGGGGGGGGGCGGGAGGAAGGAAAGAAGGAAGAACACAGUGGUUUAUCUCACCUAACACCUCCUCUUUCUCUUCCCAGCCUAAUCAACACCUCCAUGAACCCCUGCAAAAUGUUCCGUUCAUAUAGCACAUGUGUGUGUGAGAGAAUAUAUAUACUGACAGAUACUGAUCAUCAACAGAUACUGAUCACAUGAGGGGAGAACAUAACUUGAACUUCAGACUCACCCCAGCAGUGCCUGAUUCUCUUUCACUAUCAGCCUCCUUACCUAUUCUGAGGCGCUUCAAAACAAAACAAACAAAAACCAACUCCUGGGCAGAAAGGGAACAGCAGCUGAACUGAGCGGCACAUGCUUGGAGCAUUCCCGCCAUAGACUUCGGAGUAUUUCUGCUUUCUUGAGCCACAGCCACCAGCACUGGACUACAGAACAGCCCUGGAGAGAAAUCGCCUGUAGGGAGACACUCACAGACCCUCCCUGGAGCCACGCACCCCAGCGUGUGCAGCUGAGUCUCUGUGAAAUGGACAUACGCUCAGGUAAGGCUCUGCCCACACGUGACCCAGAACACUGCGAAAUUCUUCCCUUCCAUAAUCGCGUGGCAUCCAAAGUCUUGCCUACACCUAGUACGUGCAGAUGUCGAUUCCGUAAGAACACAUGAUGGAAGGGCAGAAAUGGGAAUGGCCAAAGCCCCAUUUUCUCGUGACCACAUCUCUCCUCUCCACGGUGCGCCCACACACACGGGUGGAUGCAGGCCCAGGACUCUCCCAGAAGCCAUCAGGACCCCGCCAGCCCUUCACUCCUGCUCUGACCCGGAGGAGGUCAGAAGAUACCCUGGCUUCCCCCAUCCCUCCACACCUCCAUGCUGGUUUCCUGUCUUUCUGGGGCUGUUAGCUCCAGGCUCUCCAGGCUGGGGACAGCAAAUUUGGUCUCGCUUGGCUGUUAGAAACACAGAUUAAAGGGACAAACACAACUUCCAGGACAGACUUCCAAGGAAACAAGAAGAUGGGGCAUAUAACCAAAAUGCAAGGCAAACAGCACCUCUUUCAACAAGAACUGGAUUUGAGCAACUAGAAUAUCUUUUAUUUCUGUCAAAUGUUCAGUAAUAUGAAGAGUUGGACCCGGGCAUUACCUUCCCAUGCUCUACUGUGAGCAUUUUCUCUUCUUCCCCUCCUUCCCUUCCACUCUCCUUCUUCUUACUCAGUUCUUUAUUCUCUGUUUCACCCUUGCUCCUUGCCUAAGGAUCAGCCUCCAGAGCUCUUGAAAACCAUUCUCAGUCUCUGCUCUUGUCCCCAAAACUAAAGAAAUGCUGAUGUUCUCUCUCUUUCUCCCUAUGGAAAAGAGGCUGCUGUCCAGAAGGAGCAAAAGUGAAGGGAAAGAAAGCAGGGAGUAUGGCACAUGGCUCUGUGGCCGUGACUUUCUCUACCAGCCUGUUAGGUCUAUGAGGUCAAGGAACACGUUGCCUUUUGCACCACUGUAUGCCCAGCACCUAGCAUGGUAACUUACACCUAGUAACUGAUGGAUGAAUGGGUGUUAGGUGGAUAAAGAAAACGAAUUAGGACAGCUAUUUGACAUUUGUUGUACUGGUCGAAAGGCUAUUGAGAAUUUUCUUUCUCUUCCAAACUUCGUAAUGAUGUUCAUUCAGCAUUAUCAAGUCAUAGUCAGCUGGACCAGGUCCCAGAGAAAAGAUGCAGACAUUUAAUGCGGAACUGAGGAGGCCAGACCCAGAGGAAUGGAUCCCAAAGGAGGUAGAAAUGCCAAAGACAACUUGCGUGGCUUUAGUACGGUCACUUCUCCCUUACUGGACUCCAUGUGAAAUAAAAGAUCUUGAUCUGGAAAUUGCCAUAGAAAACAAAACCCAUCAUUUCCUAAGAAUGGUUAUGCCUUAGACUAUACACGGCCUAAUUCUGUUCACCCGAGGGCUCUCAUGUGGACUGUUAUCCAGUAACUGACCAUUUCCUUCAGCCUGCCGUGUUUUUCUAGAGGAAAAGGUGAUGGCUGCCAGGCUCAUCAUUCUAUCCCACUUCCAUGGUUAAUCAGUUAUUAUCUAUCCUUCAAAAUCUCUCUGUUCCCCCCAACAAUUCCACUCUAGAAAGCCCUGCCACAUAUUCUGGAUUACUAAAGUUAGGUCCUAAGUCUUUAUAUUUUCUUAAAGCUCUUAUAAUUUUCAUUAAAGGACCCAAAGAAGAGGUGCUUUUAAUAACACAUCAUUAAAGAGUUACUAAUACUGUUCCCAUCAAACUUUUCUCCCACCAACCCUCCUGCCAAUAGUUCAGGUUUGUGUGGCCCAAGUUCAGACCUGGGCAGAUGGUGUAAGGGAAAUAAAGAACUAGAAAUCUAGAAAGCUAGACUUAAGUCCCAGGUCACAAAAUCUGUAAAAACACUUGGCCUCUCUGGACAUAUAAAAUACGUGUUGUAGCAGGUUUAAUAGUAUGUAAACUCGGUAAUUUUUAGGACUUGUAAAUCAAUGAUUUUUCUUCAUUUUAUGAAAAGCUCAUCAAGAAUAUCAUUAAUCUUUGAAAAUUUAAGAAACCUUUGGUCCAAAAAUGUAUUGAUCAAAAAUAUUUUAUUAGAUGAACUCCUAUAGAUACAUUCUACGCAGAAAAACUUAAAUCUCAACAAGAAAUAUUGCAGGGAAAAACAUUUCUUUCUUAAAAGGUGGGUGAUAUCCUCUCCAUCAAAUGCAUUAUUUGACAACACUUUGAUGUUAGAGCCUCUUCUCAUAAAUGCUGCAAAAGUUUUAGUGUCUUAAAUUGUGUACUUAGUUCUUAGAAAUCGGUAAAAGAGUUACUAGAGUAUGUUUUAUAUACUGAUGAUUAACCUAAGUCAUGGACAGUUUACAGGACAAUGACAUCUAGGAAAAGCAUAACUGAGGAAUCACAAAGAAGGGCUUCCUUUGCGAAAAGAAGAGAGGCAUAGUCAAGAAGAAGGACUCAAUAUUAUGACCUGGGUCAUAAACUGAGUGUGAUCCAAGGAAAAUUCCAGCUAGCCUGCAAAAUGUCUAAGGCCCACUCCUUAACAUGAACCUCUUACAAAUAGCUACUCAUGGAGGAACUCAUCUCAUUCACAUGAUGAAAAGUCAAGAUGGAACCAGCACAAAAUCAUUACAAAAUUCCUCUCACUCAAACCCAAA